rnacentral:rRNA from 1 species
GUGCCAGCCGCCGCGGUAAUACGGAGGGUGCAAGCGUUAAUCGGAAUUACUGGGCGUAAAGCGCGCGUAGGUGGUUAGGUAAGCGAGAUGUGAAAGCCCCGGGCUUAACCUGGGAACGGCAUUUCGAACUGUCUGACUAGAGUGUGGUAGAGGGUAGUGGAAUUUCCUGUGUAGCGGUGAAAUGCGUAGAUAUAGGAAGGAACACCAGUGGCGAAGGCGGCUACCUGGACCAACACUGACACUGAGGUGCGAAGGCGUGGGGAGCAAACAGGAUUAGAUACCCUGGUAGUCCACGCCGUAAACGAUGUCAACUAGCCGUUGGGACUCUUGAAGUCUUAGUGGCGCAGCUAACGCACUAAGUUGACCGCCUGGGGAGUACGGCCGCAAGGUUAAA